AUUUAAAACUUAGUUUGGGGUUUUUUCUGAUUCCAAGUGUUUGCUACUCUGGAUCCGUUUCAUCCAAAAAUCGAUUGAUUGAGUGGAAAACUAAUAUUUUAUUCUGAAUUAGCUUCUCAUUUUGGUUGUAAUAGAUUAAGUUUUAUUGAAUUCCAAGUCAAAAUUCUAAACCGAACUUUCGGACUUAAUUCCGACUUCACACUAAUCGGACUUUUUAUACAAUAAGUCGGUCUUAAAAUGUCGGGCUUAAUUAAUGAAGUAAAACUAGAUAUCUUAUCAAUAGAUGGCUACACUGUUUAGUGGAUCGUCUGCAGUAAAAAUUCAUAUCAGAUGUGGCCUAGUUGUUAUGUAAUUUUGCAGCUGUGGACUUUCUUUAGAUGACACUUGUAUCGGAAAUAUUUUCCUGUUUCUUGGAACAAGAAACAUAGAAUGUGUGUCUUGAUGCCAACUAAGUGUCACUAAGUGUCAUUGGAAAGAUGUUAAGCAGGAGAAACCUUAAGUUGGAGGAUGAUACAUUUGUUUCCCGUUUGUUCCUAGUUUUGUAAAACAAAUGGGAAAUUGGUAAAAUGAAACAACAUAUUACCUAUUACUUUAAAUAAAUUGUUUUUAAAAGUGGAGAUUGAUUCCAAAUCUUCAGCUUCCCAGGCAGACACCCAUCCACAAAGCCAUGGGUGAUAGAUGAUGUUCACAGUGGGCACGACUGUGUUGUAAAUUGGUGUCACUUUAACAAAGCCAAACAGCAGAUUUAGAUCACGUGUCUACUGUGAAAGAGAUAAUGUGUUUCAACGAAAAUGGCUCUCCCCAGUGUGUCCCAUGUGAUGCAGAACUCUUGAAAUCAAGUUGAAUGUUUUGAACCAUCUUAGGACAAAGCUGAAGUUCUAGUUUGCAGUGGUAUUAGAAAAGUCGUCGUUUUUUUGGUUAGAGUUUCUUCGCCGUCCGAUGCAUCAGUUGGAAGGAUGUUCACUUCCUCGACAUCAUUGCUCCCGUAAUUUAUUAACUUUGUGCUUCGAAAAAAGUUGUACUAAGCUUCAAUUUUUAAAAGAAAAGUUUCAUGCAUUAUUCUUAUCUCGAGAUUAUAUCGACCUUCAAAGGCAAAUCGGAAGAGGGUAUCCUUUUCCUUGACUUAAAGGACAGAAAUUUAAGCAUUAGCAAGUCAUCCGCAUCCGAACAGAUCAAAUGCACGAAGUAUUCCGCCUCGUCCGGCAACUUACGAUCCAGCAACGCAUCCAUCAACAGAAUGUAUUAAAGAGGAAAGUAAUGACCUAAUGCCGACUGGACGAUUUCCAUGCAAGAUGAAUGUUAAAAUCCAAGGAUAUCUGGAGAACCAUUAGCUGAAUACAAUAAAUACUAUCAGUUCUCCAGAACAAGAGGCCAACAUAGGUUAAUAAUCAUGACUGAAUCAAAAGAGGUACAUACUUGAACGAGAUUU